CAGGGCUUUUCGGAAAAUGCUAUACAGUAUUCUAUGAUAGGGUAUCAUGGGAUAUUGCAAACCGCAAAUGCCGUAAGCGCAGUGAAUAUCUUGUUACAAUAGCAUCACGAAUGGAAAUGAAUUACAUACAAUACCUUCUACGUAUUGAGUUUUAUGAUGUGUUCCCUGCUUGGUACAGAAACACUCAAAACGUACUUCAUGGAGCACAUAUUGGCUUAAGAAGACUUACGGACAAAAACAAGAAGACAAGUUUUAAUUGGGUCAACGGCAACAGCGUUACAUUCACUGCAUGGGAAAGCGGACAACCUGCAAUAACAGAUUGUACCCGUACGUUAUUCAAGUAUUUCAAUACCGAAGCACUUUGGGGGACAGAAGAUUGUUUGCAUAAUAAGGUCGGAUUUUACAUCUGUGAGAAACCGUUUUUAGAGGACGGAAAUAUCU